rnacentral:rRNA from 1 species
GCGCGGGAUAACUCUUGCUAAGGAACUCGGCAAAAUGGCCCCGUAACUUCGGGAGAAGGGGCGCCUCGGUAGGGUUUAUAGCCCGAGGAGGCCGCAGUGAAAAGGCCCAAGCGACUGUUUAGCAAAAACACAGGUCUCUGCGAAGCCGCAAGGCGAAGUAUAGGGGCUGACGCCUGCCCGGUGCUGGAAGGUUAAGGGGAUGGGUUAGCGCAAGCGAAGCUUUGAACCGAAGCCCCAGUAAACGGCGGCCGUAACUAUAACGGUCCUAAGGUAGCGAAAUUCCUUGUCGGGUAAGUUCCGACCCGCACGAAAGGCGUAACGACUUGGGCGCUGUCUCGGCAAGAGACCCGGUGAAAUCAUAAUACCUGUGAAGAUGCAGGUUACCCGCGACAAGACGGAAAGACCCCAUGGAGCUUUACUGUAGCCUGGUAUUGAAACUUUGUGCAUCAUGUACAGAAUAGGUGGGAAGCUGUGAAGCGAGGGCGCCAGCCUUCGUGGAGCUGUCGUUGGGAUACCACCCUUGAUGUACGGAGUUUCUAACUUGCCGCCCUUAUCGGGUGGAAGGACCAUGCCAGGUGGGCAGUUUGACUGGGGCGGUCGCCUCCUAAAGAGUAACGGAGGCGCCCAAAGGUUCCCUCAGAAUGGUCGGAAAUCAUUCGUAGAGUGUAAAGGCACAAGGGAGCUUGACUGCGAGACCUACAAGUCGAGCAGGGACGAAAGUCGGGCUUAGUGAUCCGGUGGUUCCGCAUGGAAGGGCCAUCGCUCAACGGAUAAAAGCUACCCUGGGGAUAACAGGCUUAUCUCCCCCAAGAGUCCACAUCGACGGGGAGGUUUGGCACCUCGAUGUCGGCUCAUCGCAUCCUGGGGCUGAAGUAGGUCCCAAGGGUUGGGCUGUUCGCCCAUUAAAGCGGUACGCGAGCUGGGUUCAGAACGUCGUGAGACAGUUCGGUCCCUAUCUGUCGCGGGCGUAGGAAGUUUGAGGAGAGCUGUCCUUAGUACGAGAGGACCGGGAUGGACGCACCUCUGGUGCACCAGUUGUCACGCCAGUGGCACAGCUGGGUAGCUAUGUGCGGACGGGAUAAGCGCUGAAAGCAUCUAAGCGUGAAGCCCCCUUCAAGAUGAGACUUCCCAUAGCGCAAGCUAGUAAGACCCCUCAUAGACGAUGAGGUUGAUAGGUUCGGUGUGGAAGUGCAGUAAUGCAUGGAGCUGACGAAUACUAAUCGGUCGAGGACUUAUCCAC